AAGUCGUAACAAGGUUUCCGUAGGUGAACCUGCGGAAGGAUCAUUAGUGAUUGACCUUUGGGUCUUAUCUUAACAUCCCAUACCUCUGUGAACCGUUUGACCUCUGGGUCUUACAACUAUACAAACAUCAGUGUAAAGAACGUCUUGUUAUUUUAACAAAAACAAAACUUUCAACAACGGAUCUCUUGGCUCUC
rnacentral:misc_RNA from 1 species